rnacentral:rRNA from 1 species
CCUACGGGUGGCAGCAGUGGGGAAUAUUGCACAAUGGGGGGAACCCUGAUGCCGCGACGCCGCGUGGGUGAAGCAGUACUUCGGUACGUAAAGCCCUAUCAGCAGGAAAGAAAAUGACGGUACCUGACUAAGAAGCCCCGGAGAAAAACGUGCAAGCAGCCGCGGUAAUACGUAGGGGUCAAGCGUUAUCCGGAUGGACUGGGUGUAAAGGGAGCGUGGACGGCAUGGCAAGUCCGGAGUGAAAGCCCGGGGCUCAAACCUGGGACUGCUCUGGAAACUGUAAAGCUGGAGUGCGGGAGGGGCAGGCGGAAUUCCGGGUGUAGCAGUGAAAUGCGUAGAUAUCAGGAGGAACACCGGCGGCGAAGGCGACCUGCUGGACCGUAACUGACGUUGAGGCUCGAAAGCGUGGGUAGCAAACAGGAUUAGAUACCCUUGUAGUC